rnacentral:rRNA from 1 species
CAAUAGCGUAUACUAACGUUGUUGCAGUUAAAAGCUCGUAGUUGGAUUUCUGUGAUGGGCAGCCGGCCGGCUCUUCGGAGUUGUAGCUAGGUUUGUUUGUCGCAUCUUGUCGUAAUUCUCACUGGCAUUCAUUUGUUGGUGUAGAGGACCGACUCGUUUACUUUGAGAAAAUAAGAGUGUUCAAAGCGGGCUAUCGCCUUGAAUUUGUUAGCAUGGAAUAAUGAUAUAGGACUUUUGGUCUUAUUUUGUUGGUUGUUCGAGGACCGAAGUAAUGAUUGAUAGGGACGGUUGGGGGCAUCAGUAUUCUGAAGCGAGAGGUGAAAUUCUUGGACCUUCGGAAGACUAACAACUGCGAAAGCAUUUGCCUAGGACGUUCUCUUUAAUCAAGAACGAAAGUUGGGGGAGUCGAAGAUGAUUAGAUACCGU